rnacentral:rRNA from 1 species
GCGGCUUAAGCGAGAACCGGUCGAAGAUACCAGGUGGCUGCAACUGUUUAGUAAAAACACAGCACUCUGCUAACGCGUAAGCGGACGUAUAGGGUGUGACGCCUGCCCGGUGCCGGAAGGUUAAGUGAUGGUGUUAGGCUCCGGCCGAAGCUCUUGAUCGAAGCCCCGGUAAACGGCGGCCGUAACUAUAACGGUCCUAAGGUAGCGAAAUUCCUUGUCGGGUAAGUUCCGACCUGCACGAAUGGCGUAAUGAUGGCCACGCUGUCUCCACCCGAGACUCAGUGAAAUUGAAAUCGCCGUGAAGAUGCGGUGUACCCGCGGCUAGACGGAAAGACCCCGUGAACCUUUACUAUAGCUUCACACUGGACGCUGAUGUUGCCUGUGUAGGAUAGCUGGGAGGCUUGGAAACCCGGACGCCAGUUCGGGUGGAGCCACCCUUGAAAUACCAGCCUGGCAUCAUUGGCGUUCUCACUCAGGUCCGUUAUCCGGAUCGAGGACAGUGUGUGGUGGGUAGUUUGACUGGGGCGGUCUCCUCCCAAAGCGUAACGGAGGAGCACGAAGGUACCCUCAGCACGGUCGGACAUCGUGCAAUGAGUGCAAGAGCAUAAGGGUGCUUGACUGCGAGACAGACACGUCGAGCAGGUGCGAAAGCAGGUUCUAGUGAUCCGGUGGUUCUGUAUGGAAGGGCCAUCGCUCAACGGAUAAAAGGUACUCCGGGGAUAACAGGCUGAUACCGCCCAAGAGUUCACAUCGACGGCGGUGUUUGGCACCUCGAUGUCGGCUCAUCACAUCCUGGGGCUGAAGUCGGUCCCAAGGGUAUGGCUGUUCGCCAUUUAAAGUGGUACGCGAGCUGGGUUUAGAACGUCGUGAGACAGUUCGGUCCCUAUCUGCCGUGGGCGUUGGAUGUUUGAGAAGGGCUGCUCCUAGUACGAGAGGACCGGAGUGGACGCACCUCUGGUGUUCCGGUUGUCACGCCAGUGGCAUUGCCGGGUAGCUAUGUGCGGACGGGAUAACCGCUGAAAGCAUCUAAGCGGGAAGCCCCCUUCAAGAUGAGACAUCCCUGAGGCCGAGAGCCUCCUGAAGGGCCCAGCGAGACCAGCUGGUUGAUAGGCACGGUGUGGACGCGCUGCAAGGCGUUGAGCUAACGUGUACUAAUGGCCCGUGAGGCUUGACCCUA